rnacentral:rRNA from 1 species
GGAUUAGAUACCCUGGUAGUCCACGCCCUAAACGAUGUCCACUAGUUGUCGGGUUUUAAUUAACUUGGUAACGCAGCUAACGCGUGAAGUAGACCGCCUGGGGAGUACGGUCGCAAGAUUAAAACUCAAAGGAAUUGACGGGGACCCGCACAAGCGGUGGAUGAUGUGGAUUAAUUCGAUGCAACGCGAAAAACCUUACCUACCCUUGACAUGUACGGAAGGCCGAAGAGAUUUGGUUGUGCUCGAAAGAGAACCGUAACACAGGUGCUGCAUGGCUGUCGUCAGCUCGUGUCGUGAGAUGUUGGGUUAAGUCCCGCAACGAGCGCAACCCUUGUCAUUAGUUGCUACAUUUAGUUGAGCACUCUAAUGAGACUGCCGGUGACAAACCGGAGGAAGGUGGGGAUGACGUCAAGUCCUCAUGGCCCUUAUGGGUAGGGCUUCACACGUCAUACAAUGGUACAUACAGAGGGCCGCCAACCCGCGAGGGGGAGCUAAUCCCAGAAAGUGUAUCGUAGUCCGGAUCGCAGUCUGCAACUCGACUGCGUGAAGUUGGAAUCGCUAGUAAUCGCGGAUCAGCAUGUCGCGGUGAAUACGUUCCCGGGUCUUGUACACACCGCCCGUCACACCAUGGGAGCGGGUUUUACCAGAAGUAGGUAGCUUAACCGCAAGGAGGGCGCUUACCACGGUAGGAUUCGUGACUGGGGUGAAGUCGUAACAAG